AUUGAACGCUGGCGGCAGGCCUAACACAUGCAAGUCGAGCGGAGCGGCGGACGGGUGAGUAAGGCCUAGGAAUCUGCCUGGUAGUGGGGGAUAAAGUCCGGAAACGGGCGGUAAUAACGCAUAAUAUCAGAGGAGGGUAGGUGGGAUUAGCUAGUUGGUUGGGUAAAGGCCUACCAAGGCGACGAUCCGUAACUGGUCUGGGAGGAUGAUCAGUCACACUGGAACUGAGACACGGUCCAUACUCCUCCGGGAGGCAGCAGUGGGGAAUAUUGGACAAUUUGCGCAAGCCUGAUCCAGCCAUGCCGCGUGUGGGAAGAAGGUCUUCGGAUUGUAAAGCUCGUUAAGUUGGGAGGCGUUACCAACAGAAUAAGCACCGGCUAACUUCGUGCCAGCCGCCGCGGUAAUAC
rnacentral:rRNA from 1 species